rnacentral:lncRNA from 1 species
UCUUCGUAACACAGUCUCACCACAAAACCAUCUCCUAAGAUGACAUAGGAUAAAUUAUCUACUGCCUUAAACGGUGUCAUAUAAAAUUGUAUGAAAUGUCAUAUAUAUAAUAACUUUACAAACGACGUACCAUAUAAAUUUUACUCAGGGUAAAAAUCAUAGGAUAUGGCAAAUAUAACUUGCAAAUCACACAAAUCCUAUAUAACUAACGGUAUGACAUAUCAUCUAUGUAAUGAAGUUACAACCAACCUGUCGCACCCCAAAAGGCAAGGAUUGAUUUUUCUUUCUCCUAACUUAAUAUAAAUUGAUCUACAUAAAGUUAUUCUAUGUCAACGUGUUAUCAUGUGUCAUAUUUUUUAUUGACCUAAAAAUUUAUUUGAAAUUUUCUUAGACUAAUUAAUUAAUUUGCAGAAGUUUAGAAUUGGAACUUCAAAUCCCUUGAUGGCAAAAAUAAAAUAAACAUCCUUUACAAAGUGGUUGAUGAAACAUAUGCUCAAGCUAGCCUCUAGGUAAAUAAUUAAUUUACGGAAGUUCAAUUAAUUUAGAAUUGGAACUGCAAUUAUUCCCACAAAUGAAGAACUUGGAACUAAUAUUUAAUUAUUAUUUUUUAAUUAAUGAACUAAUUGUGUCUGCUAGUGGGUGGUGAGUUUGAUGAUUGAUCUCCAAACACUUGCGUUAACAAAUUAACAAGAGAGACAGCUGGUGUAAUAUGACACGUACAUCUCUUUUUUCACCAAUUGAGGUAAAUUGAAAGUUGGCUUCUUUUUCAAAAGGCAAAGCUUUAAAGAAGAAAAAGGAAACACGGCACGACAGGAGAGAAAUAUCGGACGAAAGGGUAUCAGCGGAGUAGACGAAAUGGAAACAGAGUUUAGAAGCAGAACUGCAGAACCAUUACCCAAAGCUGUCGCAACUGCACUUCUACAGUUCGACUUAUGGGAACUCAAAAUGCUGGUUGUUGAUUGUAUUAACUCUUGCUUUUAAAAAGAAGAAAACCCCAUGCAGGCUUACAAAACUUGAAACAAAACUUUAGAUGCUCCUAUAGCUUAGAUAACUAAGGGAAUCAAUGGAUUCUUGCAGUAGAUGUCAGGCCAUUUCGCCAAGUUCUUCGCCAGAGACUCCUCCAAGAUUCCACGCACUCUUCCUCCCGUCUACAGAGAAGAUGUUAGGAAAUUGGUGGGUGAAGUAGGGCCACAACUAAAAUGAAAUUGAAAGAAAAUAAAGAACAAGUAUAAAAGAGGAUAACAGAAAAUUACGUGGUUCAACUUUUAGCCUACGUCCACGGGCGAAGACAGAAGAAAAAUAUUUUACUAGUGAUGUGGAGUAUACAAGUAUUGAAAUAUUUUGUCUCACAACCCAAUAUCCCAAUACACCCAAUUCUUUCACUCACUAAUUACUCACAAGAACUUUAUAAUUUUGAGUUCUUAAAAAAAAUCACUCAAGCUCUCUCAUUUCUUU